UCCACAAGGGUUGGGCCACCGGCUUCGGGUGUUACCGACUUUCGUGACUUGACGGGCGGUGUGUACAAGGCCCGGGAACGUAUUCACCGCAGCGUUGCUGAUCUGCGAUUACUAGCGACUCCGACUUCAUGAGGUCGAGUUGCAGACCUCAAUCCGAACUGAGACCGGCUUUUUGGGAUUAGCUCCACCUCACAGUAUCGCAACCCUUUGUACCGGCCAUUGUAGCAUGCGUGAAGCCCAAGACAUAAGGGGCAUGAUGAUUUGACGUCAUCCCCACCUUCCUCCGAGUUGACCCCGGCAGUCUCCCAUGAGUCCCCACCAUCACGUGCUGGCAACAUGGAACGAGGGUUGCGCUCGUUGCGGGACUUAACCCAACAUCUCACGACACGAGCUGACGACAACCAUGCACCACCUGUAUACCGACCCCAAAGGGGAAGAACCAUCUCUGGAACGAUCCGGUAUAUGUCAAGCCUUGGUAAGGUUCUUCGCGUUGCAUCGAAUUAAUCCGCAUGCUCCGCCGCUUGUGCGGGCCCCCGUCAAUUCCUUUGAGUUUUAGCCUUGCGGCCGUACUCCCCAGGCGGGGCACUUAAUGCGUUAGCUACGGCGCGGAAAACGUGGAAUGUCCCCCACACCUAGUGCCCAACGUUUACGGCAUGGACUACCAGGGUAUCUAAUCCUGUUCGCUCCCCAUGCUUUCGCUCCUCAGCGUCAGUAACAGCCCAGAGACCUGCCUUCGCCAUCGGUGUUCCUCCUGAUAUCUGCGCAUUCCACCGCUACACCAGGAAUUCCAGUCUCCCCUACUGCACUCUAGUCUGCCCGUACCCACUGCACACCCGGGGUUAAGCCCCGGGCUUUCACAGCAGACGCGACAAACCGCCUACGAGCUCUUUACGCCCAAUAAUUCCGGACAACGCUUGCGCCCUACGUAUUACCGCGGCUGCUGGCACGUAGUUAGCCGGCGCUUCUUCUGCAGGUACCGUCACUUGUGGCUUCUUCCCUGCUGAAAGAGGUUUACAACCCGAAGGCCGUCAUCCCUCACGCGGCGUCGCUGCAUCAGGCUUUCGCCCAUUGUGCAAUAUUCCCCACUGCUGCCUCCCGU
rnacentral:rRNA from 1 species